CCAGCGUGGGAUAGCGUUACAACGGCGAGUGAAGCGGCAAAAGCUCAAAUUUGAAAUCUGGCACCUUCGGUGUCCGAGUUGUAAUUUGAAGAAGGUAACUUUGGAGUUGGCUCUUGUCUAUGUUCCUUGGAACAGGACGUCACAGAGGGUGAGAAUCCCGUGCGAUGAGAUGCCCAAUUCUAUGUAAAGUGCUUUCGAAGAGUCGAGUUGUUUGGGAAUGCAGCUCUAAGUGGGUGGUAAAUUCCAUCUAAAGCUAAAUAUUGGCGAGAGACCGAUAGCGAACAAGUACAGUGAUGGAAAGAUGAAAAGAACUUUGAAAAGAGAGUGAAAAAGUACGUGAAAUUGUUGAAAGGGAAGGGCUUGAGAUCAGACUUGGUAUUUUGCGAUCCUUUCCUUCUUGGUUGGGUUCCUCGCAGCUUACUGGGCCAGCAUCGGUUUGGAUGGUAGGAUAAUGACUAAGGAAUGUGGCUCUACUUCGGUGGAGUGUUAUAGCCUUGGUUGAUACUGCCUGUCUAGACCGAGGACUGCGUCUUUUGACUAGGAUGUUGGCAUAAUGAUCUUAAGCCACCCGUCUUGAAACACGGACCAAAAAA
rnacentral:rRNA from 1 species